AAUAACAAUGUAUUAUUAUUAUCAGAGAAGAAAGAAAAAGUGAAUGUUCUUACUAGACAUGAAAAUUAUAAUAUAUUUAUAAUAUAUUUUCUUUCCUCGACGUUAGGAACUGAGGUCCGAUUUGAUAUUUGGCACUACUUCCAGGUCGGUGAGGAGUUUAGAUGCCAACAUGCUGUCAGAAUUUCUGGGACAAUUCUAUGCUCUGUGAGACCAAAGGGACAGAAUAUUGGAACUCAGAGCUGUGUUGGGAAUCUUAGAGGGACAAGUGGGACCUAGAGACAGACAUACACAGAGGGAAGAUGGUGUGAACCCACAGGAGAGGAUCAUGUGAAGAUGGAGGACUGGAGUGAUGCAUCUACGGGCCAAGGAAUGUCAAGGAUUUGGGGUGAAACACCAGAAGCUAGGAAGAGGCAAGCAAUGAUUUUCCUUCAGGUUUCAGAGGGAUCAUGACACUGCCAACAUAUUGAGGUGCCUGGAUGGGGCUCUGGGAAUUGCUGCAGUCAUCAUACUGCAAGCCUAAAGGACAAGGCCCUCACUGAGGAGGGCAGGGAGUGGAUGGGUGUGAUGACUAUGCAGCUGAGUUCUGGUCAACAGGGUGCAAGCGGAAGGAAUGGGCUCCACUUACAGACCUGACCACAGCCACCUCCCCAAGAGACUCUGCUUUUCCCGAGAAAACUGGAAAUAAUCCAAAUUUCCACCAACGGAUGAAUGGAUGAACAAAAUGUGGCAAAUCCAUACAAUGAGAUACUACUCAGCAACAAAAAGGAACAAAGUCAUAAUUCAUGCUGCAACAUCACUGGAUCAAAAUAAUGAUAUGAUAAGUAAACAUAGCUAUGUAGAAAAAGAGUACAUAAUGUACAAUUCUGUUUUAUGAAAUGUCCAUAAAGGGUAAAUCUCUAUAUAUAGUAGAUCAGUGGUUGUUUGGGGCUGGAGUGGGAGUGAGUUUGGUCAUAAAAGAAAUUGAGGAAAUGUAUUGUGAUGACCAGUAUGUUCUAAAUCUGGACUGUGGAGGUGAUUGGCAUGGAUGUAUAAAUUUAUUAAAAAUCAUUAAAUGAAC
ensembl:lncRNA